rnacentral:lncRNA from 1 species
CAGGCCCUGUGGCCAACUCACCAGCCACUGUCUCCCCCGACCCCAGCCUCCCUAUCAACAACUUAGGAGGACCCCUUUGGAAGAAUGAUAAACUCUUGGGUCACUGGGGACUUCUGAGGAGGACAACAUCUCGGGAAGCUGGACUGGGCUUGCUGGGUGGAAAUCAGAGUGGUAUGAAUUUUAACAUUAAAAACAUGUGACUUAAAGUGACCCAGUUUUGUCACCUAAGCUGGUGAGGUGGGUCAUACAAGGAAAACAGGGUUUCAAACACCUGGUUUCUGACAUGUGACCUUAACUGUAUAUCUGUCUGCCUUAGCUGGAUUAAUUUCAUUCUUUCAUCUGUCUGGAAUCUUCAGACAUAACUUGAAGCAAAGCAAAACAAGACAAACAAAUUCAGACUUAAACCUUUGAAGUGUCAUACAUUUUCCCAAGAAGUUUAGAAUUCUAUGGCUUGGGCUUGCUUUAAUCGUAGCUCCUUUGCAGCUCAGUGUUCUGUGAUAACCUAAAUGGGUGGUAUGAGGGGUAGGGGUGGGGGCAGUGGGAGGCAAGUUCAAGAGGGAGGGGAUAUAAGUAUACACAUAGCUGAUUUACUUUGUUGUACAGCAGAAACUAACACAACAUUGUAAAGCAAUUAUACUCCAGUAAAGAAAAAAGAAAAGAAAAAACCCGUAGAGCUCCUUUGAAUGUACUUUUUAAAAAUAGGUAUUUAUUUUUAAAAAUUACAUAACAUGUAUGUCUAAGGCAGGUGACCCAGUUUGGUCACUCUUUAGAUAUAACCUGCUUCCUCUUCACUUGCCAGAAAUUCUUUCUUAUUCUUUCUUUUCUUCUUCCUUUCCUCCUUUCCUUCCUUCCUUUUUUUCCCCAUGCUUUCUUUCUCAAUCUUUUUCCCUCCUUCCUUCCUUCUUCCCCUUCUCUUUCUUUCUCCCUCCUUUCCUUCCUUUCUAUAGCAGGAAAAGAUCCACGUUAGCAAUCCCUGGGAUCAAGAACUAUACAGAAAAAUGUAAAAUUUUUAAAAUCAAAGACUUCCUCCUACUUCCAGCUCCAGAGUCCAAAGCUCCCAGGGUGAUCCUACAGUGCAACAGGGUUGAGACCCACAGCUCCCAUUUGGACAGGCACUGGAAGUAACAGAACAUCGGUGGAAAAUGGGACUCCCUGAAUCAGCGCUUCUCAAACUGCCUGGGGUGGAAGGACUAGUCUUCAUGGACCCACGUUUUUUUUAAAUACAAAUAAAAAGAAAUUCUGAGAAAAUUAAAUGCGACA